rnacentral:rRNA from 1 species
UACGUAGGGGGCAAGCGUUGUCCGGAUUUAUUGGGCGUAAAGAGCGUGUAGGCGGCCUGACAGGUCUGCUGUGAAAACUCGAGGCUCAACCUCGAGAUGUCGGCGGAAACCGUCUGGCUAGAGUCCGGAAGAGGCAAGUGGAAUUCCUGGUGUAGCGGUGGAAUGCGCAGAUAUCAGGAGGAACACCAAUAGCGAAGGCAGCUUGCUGGGACGGUACUGACGCUAAGGCGCGAAAGCGUGGGGAGCAAACAGG